rnacentral:rRNA from 1 species
GACGAACGCUGGCGGCGUGCCUAAUACAUGCAAGUCGAACGCAGUGGGGACGGGUGAGUAACACGUGGGUAACCUCCCAUCAGAGGGGAUAACACUUGGAAAAAGGUGCUAAACCCAUACUGAUGGAUGGACCCGCGGUGCAUUGGCUAGUUGGUGAGGUAACGGCUCACCAAGGCCACGAUGCAUAGCUGGCCUGAGAGGUGGAUCGGCCACACUGGGACUGAGACACGGCCCAGACUCCUACGGGAGGCAGCAGUGGGGAAUCUUCGGCAAUGGACGAAAGUCUGACCGAGCCACGCCGCGUGAGUGAAGAAGGUUUUCGGAUCGUAAAGCACUUUUGGCAGAGAAGCGGUAUCUAACGAAAAAGCCACGGCUAACUACGUGCCAGCCGCCGCGGUAAUAC